AACGAACGCCGGCGGCAGGCCUAACACAUGCAAGUCGAACGGCAGCACGGGGGCAAUCCUGGUGGCGAGUGGCGAACGGGUGAGUAAUAUAUCGGAACGUGCCCAGUCGUGGGGGAUAACGCAGCGAAAGUUGUGCUAAUACCGCAUACGAUCUAUGGAUGAAAGCGGGGGAUCGCAAGACCUCGCGCGAUUGGAGCGGCCGAUAUCAGAUUAGGUUGUUGGUGAGGUAAAAGCUCACCAAGCCUGCGAUCUGUAGCUGGUCUGAGAGGACGACCAGCCACACUGGAACUGAGACACGGUCCAGACUCCUACGGGAGGCAGCAGUGGGGAAUCUUAGACAAUGGGCGCAAGCCUGAUCUAGCCAUGCCGCGUGAGCGAUGAAGGCCUUAGGGUGUAAAGCUCUUUCAGUGGGAAGAUAAUGACUGUACCCACAGAAGAAGCCCGGCUAACUCCGUGCCAGCAGCCGCGGUAAAGUACAG
rnacentral:rRNA from 1 species